GUCCACGCCGUAAACGAUGAGUGCUAGACGUCGGGAAGCUUGCUUUUCGGUGUCGACGCUAACGCAUUAAGCACUCCGCCUGGGGAGUACGGCCGCAAGGUUAAAACUCAAAGGAAUUGACGGGGCCCGCACAAGCGGUGGAGCAUGUGGUUUAAUUCGAAGCAACGCGAAGAACCUUACCAGCCCUUGACAUGGAACGUAUGGGCCCGAGAGAUCGGGUCCUUCGGGUUAAGCCGGCGUUCACACAGGUGCUGCAUGGCUGUCGU
rnacentral:rRNA from 1 species